rnacentral:sRNA from 1 species
CGGUGCGAUCAUACCAGCACAAUGCACCGGAUCCAUCAAACUCAGUAGUACUAGGAUGGGUGACCUCCUGGGAAGUCCUCGUGUUGCACCCC